rnacentral:lncRNA from 11 species
UGUAGGAGUAUAUUUUUGCGCACACUGGAACCCAGAGGCAUACAUCCCGAUAUGAGAUUUAUUAGAGGCAGCUGAAGUAAGGAAGAGGCUAGAAGGAUAACUGAGAUGCCGCUUCUCAGUGAUGAGGAAAGAAUAUCUCAAAACACAAUUAGCCAGAUAAAUGUUAUGGACUACUACGCUUUUAAGCCCAGGCGCCAUAAUCUAUACACAAAUAAGCAAUGUGGCCAAAAGGGAAGAGAGAAAGAGAAGAAGAGGUGCACGUACUCACCUGAAAGGGAACACGCUGAAUCAAGGCUCUUCAAAGCUGUUACAAUCAGACAGGUAUUAAAUUCUGCCUCUUCAGGGAGAUGUACUGAGGGCAGGUGGAGGGGAGGAAGAGGAGGCCUAUUUUGAGGAAUACUUUUGCUGAGUUGUCAGAAAUUGGGUUUGUGUAUCAAAAGGAAUCUUGGCAUUUGCCUCCUGUUCAUUUACGAGACUUUGAGUAGCUAUUAGUGCAAGGGAAUAAUGGAGUGUUGAAUACUGACUUAAUCCUUCUUACAUUGGCAUCUGUUUUUAUUGGCAAAGAUAUGUCAUUUCUGCAAGAGGAGAAAAUUUCAUUUAUGGGGGGAAUUUUUUCAUGUACUAUUAAUUUCACAAGUAAG